rnacentral:rRNA from 1 species
GGGUUGUGAGGUUAAGCGACUAAGCGUACACGGUGGAUGCCCUGGCAGUCAGAGGCGAUGAAGGACGUGCUAAUCUGCGAUAAGCGUCGGUAAGGUGAUAUGAACCGUUAUAACCGGCGAUUUCCGAAUGGGGAAACCCAGUGUGAUUCGUCACACUAUCAUUACGUGAAUACAUAGCGUAAUGAAGCGAACCGGGGGAACUGAAACAUCUAAGUACCCCGAGGAAAAGAAAUCAACCGAGAUUCCCCCAGUAGCGGCGAGCGAACGGGGAGCAGCCCAGAGUCUGAAUCAGCUUGUGUGUUAGUGGAACGGUCUGGAAAGUCCGACGGUACAGGGUGAUAGUCCCGUACACCAAAAUGCACAGGUUGUGAACUCGAAGAGUAGGGCGGGACACGUGGUAUCCUGUCUGAAUAUGGGGGGACCAUCCUCCAAGGCUAAAUACUCCUGACUGACCGAUAGUGAACCAGUACCGUGAGGGAAAGGCGAAAAGAACCCCGGCGAGGGGAGUGAAAAAGAACCUGAAACCGUGUACGUACAAGCAGUGGGAGCCUCUUUAUGGGGUGACUGCGUACCUUUUGUAUAAUGGGUCAGCGACUUAUAUUCUGUAGCAAGGUUAACCGUAUAGGGGAGCCGAAGGGAAACCGAGUCUUAACUGGGCGUUAAGUUGCAGGGUAUAGACCCGAAACCCGGUGAUCUAGCCAUGGGCAGGUUGAAGGUUGGGUAACACUAACUGGAGGACCGAACCGACUAAUGUUGAAAAAUUAGCGGAUGACUUGUGGCUGGGGGUGAAAGGCCAAUCAAACCGGGAGAUAGCUGGUUCUCCCCGAAAGCUAUUUAGGUAGCGCCUCGUGAAUUCAUCUUCGGGGGUAGAGCACUGUUUCGGCUAGGGGGUCAUCCCGACUUACCAACCCGAUGCAAACUGCGAAUACCGAAGAAUGUUAUCACGGGAGACACACGGCGGGUGCUAACGUCCGUCGUGAAGAGGGAAACAACCCAGACCGCCAGCUAAGGUCCCAAAGUCAUGGUUAAGUGGGAAACGAUGUGGGAAGGCACAGACAGCCAGGAUGUUGGCUUAGAAGCAGCCAUCAUUUAAAGAAAGCGUAAUAGCUCACUGGUCGAGUCGGCCUGCGCGGAAGAUGUAACGGGGCUAAACCAUGCACCGAAGCUGCGGCAGCGACACUAUGUGUUGUUGGGUAGGGGAGCGUUCUGUAAGCCGUUGAAGGUGUGCUGUGAGGCAUGCUGGAGGUAUCAGAAGUGCGAAUGCUGACAUAAGUAACGAUAAUGCGGGUGAAAAACCCGCACGCCGGAAGACCAAGGGUUCCUGUCCAACGUUAAUCGGGGCAGGGUGAGUCGACCCCUAAGGCGAGGCCGAAAGGCGUAGUCGAUGGGAAACAGGUUAAUAUUCCUGUACUUGGUGUUACUGCGAAGGGGGGACGGAG